ACUCAAAGGAAUAGACGGGGGCUCACACAAGCGGUGGAGCAUGUGGCUUAAUUCGAAGCAACGCGAAGAACCUUAUCCAAGACUUGACAUGCACGGAUUAGUUUCUGGAAACAGAGAUGACACUCUUUGAGUGGAACGUGCACAGGUGCUGCAUGGCUGUCGUCAGCUCGUGCUGUGAAGUGUCGGGUUAAGUCCCUUAACGAGCGAAACCCCUAUCAUUAGUUGCCAGCGGGUAAAGCCGGGAACUCUAAUGAGACUGCCGGUGUCAAACCGGAGGAAGGUGGGGAUGACGUCAAGUCCUCAUGGCCUUUAUGUCUUGGGCUGCACACGUGCUACAAUGGCGCGGCACAAAGCGAAGCGAGACCGCAAGGUGGAGCAAAUCGCACAAAACGCGCCCCAGUUCAGAUUGAGGUCUGCAACCCGACCUCAUGAAGUUGGAAUCGCUAGUAAUCGCGGAUCAGCUACGCCGCGGUGAAUAUGUUCCUGAGCCUUGUACACACCGCCCGU
rnacentral:rRNA from 1 species